AGAGUUUGAUUAUGGCUCAGAGCGAACGCUGGCGGCAGGCUAACACAUGCAAGUCGAGCGCACUUCGGGUGAGCGGCGGACGGGUUAGUAACGCGUGGGAAUAUACCCAAAGGUACGGAAUAGCCUCUGGAAACGGAGAGUAAUACCGUAUGUGCCCUUCGGGGGAAAGAUUUAUCGCCUUUGGAUUAGCCCGCGUUGGAUUAGGUAGUUGGUGGGGUAAUGGCCUACCAAGCCUACGAUCCAUAGCUGGUUUGAGAGGAUGAUCAGCAACACUGGGACUGAGACACGGCCCAGACUCCUACGGGAGGCAGCAGUGGGGAAUCUUAGACAAUGGGCGCAAGCCUGAUCUAGCCAUGCCGCGUGAGUGACGAAGGCCUUAGGGUCGUAAAGCUCUUUCGCCAGAGAUGAUAAUGACAGUAUCUGGUAAAGAAACCCCGGCUAACUCCGUGCCAGCAGCCGCGGUAAUACGGAGGGGGUUAGCGUUGUUCGGAAUUACUGGGCGUAAAGCGUACGUAGGCGGAUUAAUCAGUCAGAGGUGAAAUCCCAGGGCUCAACCCUGGAACUGCCUUUGAUACUGUUAGUCUUGAGUUCGAGAGAGGUGAGUGGAAUUCCAAGUGUAGAGGUGAAAUUCGUAGAUAUUUGGAGGAACACCAGUGGCGAAGGCGGCUCACUGGCUCGAUACUGACGCUGAGGUACGAAAGUGUGGGGAGCAAACAGGAUUAGAUACCCUGGUAGUCCACACCGUAAACGAUGAAUGCCAGACGUCGGGGGGCUUGCCCUUCGGUGUCACACCUAACGGAUUAAGCAUUCCGCCUGGGGAGUACGGUCGCAAGAUUAAAACUCAAAUGAAUUGACGG
rnacentral:rRNA from 1 species